rnacentral:lncRNA from 1 species
GCUCGUACCCCGAGGAGCACUUCACGGAGGAGGCCCCGCGGCGCCUGCUGGGCGCCUUCCAGCGCCGCCUGGCCCGAAUCUCCCGGCGCGUCCAGCGCCGCAACGCCGCGCUGCCCCUGCCAUACCCCUACCUCGACCCCGCCGCCAUCGAGAACAGCAUCGCCAUCUGAGGGACGUCCCCAAUGUCCCCUGGUGUCCCCAAUGUCCCCAGGUGGCCCCAAGACCCCCAGGUGUCUCCCAAGUCCCCAAAUCCCCCGGUGUCCCCAAUGUCCCCAGGUGUCCCCAAAUCCCCAGCUGUCUCCAACCCCACAUUUCCCAAACGUCUCUGCAUGUCCCCAAAGUCCCCUGGUGUCCCCAAUAUCCCCUGGUUGUCCCCAAGACCCUCAGGAGUCCCCAAAUCCCCCGGUGUCCCCAAAUGUCCCCAACGCCGCGCUGCCCCUGCCAUACCCCUACCUCAACCCCGCCGCCAUCGAGAACAGCAUCGCCAUCUGAGGGACGUCCCCAAUGUCCCCUGGUGUCCCCAGGUGUCCCCAAGACCCCCAGGUGUCCCCAAGACCCUCACCCGUCUCCCCAUCCCUUGGUGUCCCCAAAUCCCCAGGCGUUCCCAAAUCCCCAGCUGUCUCCAACCCCACAUCUCCCAAACGCCUCUGCAUGUCCCCAAUGUCCCCAAUGUCCCCGGGUGUCCCCUGGUGUCCCCAAUGUCCCCUGGUGUCCCCAGGUGUCCCCAAGACCCCCAGGUGUCCCCAAGACCCUCAGGAGUCUCCCCAUCCCUUGGUGUCCCCAAAUCCCCAGGCGUUCCCAAAUCCCCAGCUGUCUCCAACCCCACAUUUCCCAAACGCCUCCGCAUGUCCCCAAAAUCCCCUGGUGUCCCCAAUGUCCCCUGGUGUCCCUAAGACCCUCAGGUGUCCCCAAAUCCCCCAGUGUCCCCAAUGUCCCCAGGCGUUCCC